AUUGAACGCUGGCGGCAGGCCUAACACAUGCAAGUCGAGCGGCAGCACGGUGAUUGCUCCUGGUUUCAGCGGCGGAGGGGCGAGUAAUGCCUAGGAAUAUGCCUGGUUGUGGGUGCUUAGGUGAGGAAACGGGGGAUCUUACGGUAUACGUCCUGAGGGCGUACGUGGGGAAGCAUCGGACCUUCCGCUCUCAGAUGAGUCAAGGACGAAUUAGCUAGUUGGGGGGGUAGAGGCCUACCAAGGCGACGAUCCGUAACUGGUCUGAGAGGAUGAUCAGUCACACUGGAACUGAGACACGGUCCAGACUCCUACGGGAGGCAGCAGUGGGGAAUAUUGGACAAUGGGCGAAAGCCUGAUCCAGCCAUGCCGCGUGGGUGAAGAAGGUCUUCGGAUUGUAAAGCACUUUUAGUGGGGAGGAAAAGCAGUAAGUUAAUACCCCGCUGUUCUGACGGUACCAACAGAAUAAGCACCGGCUAACUUCGUG
rnacentral:rRNA from 1 species